CACGCGGUGAACAAAAUUUUCUUUUAUUGCAAUGUUUAACGGCUCAAAGGCAAAGUCAGCAAUUAGGCCUUGUGCAAGCCUUUUUUUACGCCGGAUAUUCAAUAACUUAAAUAUGCCAUACUUCAUUCUUAGAUGUGCAACAAAAGAUGCUUAUAGUAUGCAUUAUCGUGUCCCCAUAUACAAAUCUAUGCACAAGUGGGGGAUCAGUUCAGUUAAGACAAAAAGAUUGCAUCUACAAAAAUGUAUCUCUAAUUAUGCGUGCUGCUACACGAGAUGAAAGCCGUGUUAACACCUCUGGAAGCACUCUGGCUGAGAUGCCUGGUAAAAUGGGAAGCAGCUCUUGUAUGAUCCGAGCAACAUUCACAUCCUGACCCGAUGUCCUUGAUAUUGAACUUCCUGCUGUCAAGAACUCAACAAUUUUCUGAACGUUAUUCAAGAUAAUUUUAUCCUCUUCAGUUAUCGUCGGCAGAAGUCCUGCAGGCUUAAAGGGUCCAGGUACCAUGCUGAAAACUGGGGCAGCAUUUCCCACUCCAAGGACUGCCAGUAUUUGUACGAGCUGUUCCCUUGUAACAGCAUCAAUACCUUUUACAAUCUCAUCCAGAAGAAAUUCUCGAAAAAAGUUCCCCUUCUCAGAGAGCAAAAAUGCUAAGGCCGCCCUUGUUUGAAUUGGCUGCGUUGGUUGAGACGAAAUUAAUGCAAAUCCAGGAUAAUUAUAACCUGUUUGACUUUGCAGAAUGCCAAGUUCAGCCAUAUUCCCAUUCAAAUUUUCUCCACCUCCACUUUUCGCAGCAGUGAUAAAAUUCUCAAAGGCUUGCAUGACAUCGAUGAAUCUUUCAGCAUCAAAAACACCAGACUUCCCAUAAAUUGUAUAGCGUAAAGCAUUCCUUAGGCGAGGGGAUUCAUCAGUGAGAAGCCUCUGUGCAAUAUAGGGAUAGGCCUCAUCUACAAUAGCAAAAUCAGGAUUUCCCACUAAAGCUAUACCUUCCAGCACACCUAUUGCCCUAAUUAUGAGUGCAAAAUAAGGUGGUAUUCUGAAUGGAUAAUCAAAUGUUAUCUCUGCCAGAUCUGAUGCUAGCUCCUGAAAGUUAAUAUUUUUUGCUCCUCCACCCUCAAGUGCUUGAUCAAAAACCUUAGCCAGGACUGGUAAGAUUGGUUCCAAAUUAACUCCCUCAGGAAUGAAAUCAAGUUUAACAAAAUCUUUUACAAUAGCAGCAUAAUCCCGAUGAAUGAGGUGGGCAAUAGCUUCAAUCAUUCCAUAUUUCUGAUCAUCUGUUAAUUUUGUGACUAGACCAAAGUCAAGAAUGGCAAGCUUCCCAUCUAGAGUACGGAUCAAAUUCCCAGGGUGAGGAUCGGCAUGGAAAAAUCCAGUAUCAAGCAACUGCUUCAAGUAGCAUAUAACUCCAACAUUGACCAAUUCUCCAACGUCACUUUCUGUACUUUGUGAGAGCUUUUCUCCCUCAAUCCAUUGUGUAGUAAGAACCUUUCUUGAAGUAUACUUUUCAUAAGUCUUUGGCACAACAACCUGUGGAAGGUCCUUCCUCAUCAUUUCUGCAAAUACAGUCCCAUUUUCACCUUCAUUAACAUAAUCUAGUUCCUCAAAAAAACGAGCAGCCCAUUCAUCAACCAACCCAACAACAUCUAUUGAUAUCUGAGGAAACUUUCGAAGAACCAAACCCAAAUUUCGUAUAAUGUACAGAUCUAUUGUUACGGUUUCAAGAACAAAAGGCCUCUGUACUUUGACAGCCACCAGAUCCCCAUUCUCUUUUAGCCUACCCUUAUAUACCUGCCCUAGAGAUGCUGCAGCAAUUGGAGAAGAAGAAAGCUCAGAAUAGAUGUUAUGCCAUGGCUGACCAAGCUCCUGCUCAAUAAGAGCCAUUGCUACAUCAUCUGGAAAUGAGGGAACCUUAUCACAAAGCUUUUGUAGCUCAGUCAUUGCUACAGGUGACAGUAUAUCUGGACGAAUACUCAAUGCUUGACCAAGUUUUAUAUAUGCUGGACCCAAAGAGGUUACAAUUUCCCUUAAUUCAAUGGCCCUAGCAACUUCAUUCUCUUUGACCUUCUUGUUUAUAACAUCCCAAGCAAGGCGAGAGAGAAAACCCCCAGCAACAGAGAGUAAUUGGAAAGCUCUUGUAGCAACAGCGCGCGGCCGUUUUCCCCAAUAGGCGGAAAUACUAGCAGGAUCAUAUGCCAAAGGUAAAAACUCACUGCUCUCGUCUAGCUCAACUAGGCGAAGCUUAAUAUUAUCAUCGGCAAACUGAGCAUCUCUCAAAUUUUGGCCUCGAAGUCCUCUCAUUAGUAUCGCCAACUGCUCGUUUUCCUCCAUUUGCGCCCUCACUCUUUUGAUCUCCUGUG
rnacentral:misc_RNA from 1 species